rnacentral:rRNA from 1 species
UGAGCAACCUGCCCCUUGCUUUGGGAUAACCCUCGGAAACGGGGGCUAAUACCGGAUGUUCACUGCUGGACGCAUGUCUGGUGGUGGAAAGUUUUUCGGCGGGGGAUGGGCUUGCGGCCUAUCAGCUUGUUGGUGGGGUGAUGGACCCCNACAGCGACGACGGUAGCGCUGAGAGGCGACCGCAC